rnacentral:pre_miRNA from 1 species
GUGCAAAUUGCUCAAGGAUCUUGUUAAAUGUAGAUUCUGAUUCAGUGGCUCUGGGGUGGGCCUGGGAUUCUGCAUUUCUAACAAGCUCCUAGGUAAUGUUUAU